AUUGAACGCUGGCGGCAGGCCUAACACAUGCAAGUCGAACGGUAACAGGAAGAAGCUUGCUUCUUUGCUGACGAGUGGCGGACGUGUGAGUAAUGUCUGUGAAACUGCCUGAUGGAGGGGGAUAACUACUGGAAACGGUAGCUAAUACCGCAUAACGUCGCAAGACCAAAAAGGGGGACCUUCGGGCCUCUUGCCAUCGGAUGUGCCCAGAUGGGAUUAGCUAGUAGGUGGGGUAACGGCUCACCUAGGCGACGAUCCCUAGCUGGUCUGAGAGGAUGACCAGCCACACUGGAACUGAGACACGGUCCAGACUCCUACGGGAGGCAGCAGUGGGGAAUAUUGCACAAUGGGCGCAAGCCUGAUGCAGCCAUGCCGCGUGUAUGAAGAAGGCCUUCGGGUUGUAAAGUACUUUCAGCGGGGAGGAAGGGAGUAAAGUUAAUACCUUGGCUCAUUGACGUUACCCGCAGAAGAAGCACCGGCUAACUCCGUG
rnacentral:rRNA from 1 species